UACGUAGGGGGCAAGCGUUGUCCGGAUUUAUUGGGCGUAAAGAGCGUGUAGGCGGCCAGACAGGUCCGUUGUGAAAACUCGAGGCUCAACCUCGAGAUGUCGAUGGAAACCGUCUGGCUAGAGUCCGGAAGAGGAGUGUGGAAUUCCUGGUGUAGCGGUGAAAUGCGCAGAUAUCAGGAAGAGCACCUAUGGCGAAGGCAGCACUCUGGGACGGUACUGACGCUGAGACGCGAAAGCGUGGGGAGCGAACAGG
rnacentral:rRNA from 1 species